GACACACCUGGGAGAGACAGGCGGACACAGAUGGAUACAGGGAGCGACAGGCAGACAGACGUGCAGACGGGAGAGACAGGUGGGCACAGAUGGACAGGGGGACAGAUGGACAGAGACACACUUGGGAGAGACAGGCGGACACAGAUGGAUACAGGGAGUGAUGGGCAGACAGACAUGCAGACAGGAGAGACAGGCGGACACAGAUGAAUACAGGGAGUGAUGGGCAGACAGACAUGCAGACGGGAGAGACAGGUGGGCACAGAUGGACAUGGGGAGAGGUGGACAGAGAUACACCCUGGAGAGACAGAUGGACACGGGGAGUGACGGGCGGACAGACACACAGAGAUGGGAGACAGGCGCACACAGUAAGAGACAGACGGACACAGUAAAGUGGACACAGUAAGAGACAGGCGGACAAACAGGGAGGCAGAUGGGAGAGAUAAGCAGAUAUAGAUGAACCCGGGGAGCGACGAACAGACACAGGGACUCCCACUGGUCCGUGGGGUAUCCAUUCUGUGUGUCUACACUGCUCAUCCCCAUGGUGUCUAAGCCACUGCCGGCCCCCCCAGGCACGGCGCCUUCGGGGCAGGAGCCGGGGCAGGCCAAGGCUGCGUCCUGGGCUCUGAAUCGCUAUGGUUACAAUGUGGGCGCACAGGGCCGCGGUUUCAGGCCAUUGGUUGUAAGGAGUGUUGGGAGGGAGGGGCUCUGCAGUGUUUCCAUUGUGGGGCAGAUCACAAAGCUGGGGACUGUGCCCCUCAGAUCGGGGGCGUUUGGAUUUGGGCUCUGUUAUUGUUCUCGCCCUGCUGUGCUACCAGCCUCCCCAGGCGCCAGCGGUGGGAUUUCAGUCAGACGGGGGCUUCCUGGUUUGAUGUGUGGGGCCAAAGUCACUGGGCUUUGGAGCUAAUUAAAAGGUUAAAGGUUGGGGAACGCAGCCCUGAGACCCCCCUUCCCAUGGGCAGCAACUGCCUCAGAGCUGGGCCCAGAGCCAGACCCCGGGGCUGACGGGGUGAUCCCCUGGAUCCGGAUUUCCUGGCCGUACCCUGAUCUGGACACGCCUAAGCUUGGACCCCCCCCAAUCCCAGGCCAGCAGGGGGGGGGGUUGGCCCCAUCUCCUUGGUAACUGCCCUGCCCGCCGCGCCCUGCGGCCUUGGCUGUGUGUUUAAAGCGUGGGAGGUAGGUGUGGCCUUGCUUUCCCUCGCUCACCGAGCCGAGCUGUUCUCCCCCAGGCCGCAGGGAGCUGGCUGGGCUGGUGUUUGGUACCCCAGGGCAGUGACCACCGUGCGCUGCUUUACGGCUCCAAACAGCCCUUUCUCCUUAGCCCUGGUGUACGGGCACGCUGGCCCCUGAUCCCAAGGGUGAGUGGCACCAGCUGGCUCUUGGGAAUAUCCCCAAGUGUUACGCCCGAGGGACACGGCUCCUCCUUGCACUGGUGUUUUCGCGUAGGUGGUGCUUUCCUGCCGUCCAGGCCCCCUGCACUGCAGCCCCCUGAUCCUUGCUAGGAGUCGACGCCUGUUGCAGCCUCUGACUGCCUUACCCAGCAACGGGACAGAGCGGGACGUCUGCCAGUCGGGCGACAGUGCUUGCUGGCUCCCAGAUACCCUUUGUCCAGGCAACGUUCAUGCCGUGUCCUGUGUGCACAGAGUGUAUGCUGCAUGCAAACAGCUCAAAUGCAGGGCAGACCCCGACCAUGCAGCCUUUGGCUACUGGUUCGUGAUGCUGUUUGGCUGAGGUUGAUUUUCUUGGGCCUCAGCUGGGCCCUAACCCGACAGGGAGCAGAUGCAGGGAAGAGUUUCCCCUCCUUGCUGUCCGCCUGCCUCUGUAGACCCCUCUAACUUCUGCCAUUACUUGCGAAUCUCCCCCUGGAACGCCCAGGGGCCGUGGGCCACCUGCCAGUGUUACACUCUGGGGCCAUCUCUGCCGCAGACUGUGCCCAUGUUACCCGCAUCCUGUGCCACGCUAGAGCAGAUGGGACCUCUGGGAGAGUGGCGUCUGGGCCCAGGGGGGUGACCGCUGCUCACCGUCCCUUGGGAGGGAGGGAGGAUAUUUGUGAGUGUUUCUCCUAAAGGCUUUGGUGAAUUCCAGGUCCAGGAGGUGGUCUCGGAGUUCCUGGCACAGAGUUGCUCCACAGUUAUAGUUUCCAUUAUAUCCUAAUUUUUCCCAUUCUUUAAAAUGCACCAGCCUUGGCGUUGGCAGGUAGCUCGGGGGCUGAAGUGGAGCGUUUGUGCGGGCGUUGGAGGGAACCAGAGCAGGGGUUCGGGCAUUAGGACGUACAGCUGUCAGACACGGCUCCACCAGGCUUCCGGCUUUUUGUUUUUAUUUCCUGGUUAGCAGAAAAGCCUGAAGGACGCCUGGCUUGCUGGGGUUCUCAGUAGGCCCACAGCCCAGGGACGGCCCCCCUGUGUGCAUCCAUUGUCCCCGUGCCAAGGGGCAGAGGAGACGAUUACAGGGCGACCGUCUCUCCACUGAGGAGGGCCCCCCCCCCCGAGCCUUGUCGGGCUCAUCGGGUAGCUGGCGGGUGGGGUGGGGACAUUGGUGGGUAUCCCCUGGCUUGGGGGUUGUGGUGGAGGGGAGUCCCUGAACCUUCUAAGGCCUGUGAGCAGCAGGGGGCGUGGGGCAGAACUGAGAGGAUCUGUGGGGUGGGGGCACAGUUUGCCAGCCACAGGGCUGCACUAAGUGCCUCCGUGGGAGCAGGGCUCUGCUAGCCGAGGGCUCCUGGCUCUAGCCGACAGCAGACCCAGAUUCAGUAGCUGGAAGCUGAAGUCAGGUGGAUUCAGACCAGGAAAGGGCUCGUUUUACUGGGCGGGUGAACGGACCAAGGGGUGCGAUGGAUUCGCCGUCACGGUCUGGAACAGACUGGCCCUGGCUGCCCCAGAAGGGAUGGGACGGGUGCGGGGAGCAGGGGGGAUUCUCUGGGUGACGCAGGUGAUCGCACAUCCCAGUUGGCCUGGAGAUCUCUGACUCGGUGGCCGGCCUGUUGUGGUGGGCACA